UUUUUUUAUGGAGAGUUUGAUCCUGGCUCAGGACGAACGCUGGCGGCGUGCUUAACACAUGCAAGUCGAACGGAAAGGCCUAGCUUGCUAGGUACUCGAGUGGCGAACGGGUGAGUAACACGUGGGUGAUCUGCCUCGUACUUCGGGAUAAGCCUGGGAAACUGGGUCUAAUACUGGAUAGGACCAUGCUUUAGUGUGUGUGGUGGAAAGUUUUUCGGUACGAGAUGAGCCCGCGGCCUAUCAGCUUGUUGGUGGGGUAAUGGCCUACCAAGGCGUCGACGGGUAGCCGGCCUGAGAGGGUGGACGGCCACAUUGGGACUGAGAUACGGCCCAGACUCCUACGGGAGGCAGCAGUGGGGAAUAUUGCACAAUGGGCGCAAGCCUGAUGCAGCGACGCCGCGUGGGGGAUGACGGCCUUCGGGUUGUAAACCUCUUUCGCUAGGGACGAAGCUUUUGUGACGGUACCUAGAUAAGAAGCACCGGCUAACUACGUGCCAGCAGCCGCGGUAAUACGUAGGGUGCGAGCGUUGUCCGGAAUUACUGGGCGUAAAGAGCUCGUAGGUGGUUUGUCGCGUCGUCUGUGAAAUUCCGGGGCUUAACUUCGGGCGUGCAGGCGAUACGGGCAUAACUUGAGUGCUGUAGGGGAGACUGGAAUUCCUGGUGUAGCGGUGGAAUGCGCAGAUAUCAGGAGGAACACCGAUGGCGAAGGCAGGUCUCUGGGCAGUAACUGACGCUGAGGAGCGAAAGCAUGGGGAGCGAACAGGAUUAGAUACCCUGGUAGUCCAUGCCGUAAACGGUGGGCGCUAGGUGUGAGGGUCUUCCACGACUUUCGUGCCGUAGCUAACGCAUUAAGCGCCCCGCCUGGGGAGUACGGCCGCAAGGCUAAAACUCAAAGGAAUUGACGGGGGCCCGCACAAGCGGCGGAGCAUGUGGAUUAAUUCGAUGCAACGCGAAGAACCUUACCUGGGCUUGACAUAUGCAGGAUCGGCGUAGAGAUACGUUUUCCCUUGUGGUCUGUAUACAGGUGGUGCAUGGUUGUCGUCAGCUCGUGUCGUGAGAUGUUGGGUUAAGUCCCGCAACGAGCGCAACCCUUGUCUUAUGUUGCCAGCACGUGAUGGUGGGGACUCAUGAGAGACUGCCGGGGUUAACUCGGAGGAAGGUGGGGAUGACGUCAAAUCAUCAUGCCCCUUAUGUCCAGGGCUUCACACAUGCUACAAUGGUCGGUACAACGCGCUGCGAGCCUGUGAGGGUGAGCGAAUCGCUGAAAGCCGGCCUCAGUUCGGAUUGGGGUCUGCAACUCGACCCCAUGAAGUCGGAGUCGCUAGUAAUCGCAGAUCAGCAACGCUGCGGUGAAUACGUUCCCGGGCCUUGUACACACCGCCCGUCACGUCAUGAAAGUUGGUAACACCCGAAGCCAGUGGCCUAACCCUUGUGGGGGGAGCUGUCGAAGGUGGGAUCGGCGAUUGGGACGAAGUCGUAACAAGGUAGCCGUACCGGAAGGUGCGGCUGGAUCACCUCCUUUCUAAGGAG
rnacentral:rRNA from 1 species